GAAAAAAAAAGUAUUAAGAGAUUAAAGUGUAAAUAUUUAUGAAAAAACUCAGGAUUAGAACUCUGACUUUCACCGUUCGUUAAAAAUUGUAUGAUUCAUUUUUAGUCUUUGUUACUGCAGUCCCCCAGCCACCCACUUUUUAGCCGUUUUACAAAUUCCCAUCAUCACAGAUUAAUGAAUCAUUCCACGUGCUACCUCGCUCUACGCCCUCUUGACUGCUUGACCCCCAGAGCGACAGGGUGACACACACAGGGUGAAUCAUGGGAAAGCCCACAACCCUCCCUGACAGAAGCCGACCAGGGUUAGAUAAUAGCCUCUGUGAUGCAAUGGGCAACGGAUUCACUGCUGUGUGGGUAUACAACAGAUUUUUAUUUUUUUUUUUUUUUUUUUAAACGGACUCUGUCUUAUAAGAAGUGAAUAUGACUUAUAACAAGUACGUUUCUUCGUUUAUAAGACGACUGAAAUAAAAUACUGCUUUUAAUCAAAUGUAUGUAUUAGUAGUAUUUGUUAAUGCUUUAUUAGUGUUAAAGUUAUUUAUUAAUACCAUUAUCAACUAUUUUUUUAUUUGCUAAUUAACAAUAAUCACUAUUGCAGGCAUACUUUAUAUUAGGUCUUUAACUACUAUGUACUUAAAUAAAAAAAUAAAAAAAGUUAGGUACAAUGUAUCUAAUGUGUACACCUUGAAUUGCAAAACACUUGAUUGUUAUUGAGAUAGGCUUAGGUUAUCGAGAUACAGUUAUGGUUAGGAAGAGGUUUGGUUGUAUUGUUAGAUUUAAGGAUGGGUUAAGGUGUAGGGAUAGAAACAACUACAGAUGUAACUAAAGAAAUGAAUUAAAGAAAGGUAUUUUUUUUAGAUAUAAGUACAAUGUAUGUCCACAAUAAGUGCAUUGUAUCCAAUGAUUAAUUUAAAUGUAAGUACACAGCAGUUAGUGACACUUAAUAUAAAGUGGGUCCACUAUUACGAACACGAAUGAAUGCUCAACAGUUUUAAAUAACGUUAAUGUUAAUAAUGUCAGUUUAGAAAA